AUUGAACGCUGGCGGCAGGCCUAACACAUGCAAGUCGAGCGGAUGAAGGGAGCUUGCUCCUGGAUUCAGCGGCGGACGGGUGAGUAAUGCCUAGGAAUCUGCCUGGUAGUGGGGGAUAACGUCCGGAAACGGGCGCUAAUACCGCAUACGUCCUUAGGGAGAAAGUGGGGGAUCUUCGGACCUCACGCUAUCAGAUGAUCCUAGGUCGGAUUAGCUAGUUGGUGGGGUAAAGGCCUACCAAGGCGACGAUCCGUAACUGGUCUGAGAGGAUGAUCAGUCACACUGGAACUGAGACACGGUCCAGACUCCUACGGGAGGCAGCAGUGGGGAAUAUUGGACAAUGGGCGAAAGCCUGAUCCAGCCAUGCCGCGUGUGUGAAGAAGGUCUUCGGAUUGUAAAGCACUUUAAGUUGGGAGGAAGGGCAGUAAGUUAAUACCUUGCUGUUUUGACGUUACCAACAGAAUAAGCACCGGCUAACUUCGUG
rnacentral:rRNA from 1 species